AAGUGAAAAGGUGAUGGAGCUCACCGAAACUGCCUUUCAGGCUAAUAGCUCCUACAAUAUC
rnacentral:ncRNA from 1 species